UGUGUAAAAAAAAACAAAAAAAAUUGAGAAAAAAAAAGAAAUUCAAACUCACUGGAUUAGCACGUUUAGUUUUCAAACUGCAUAGUUUCCGUACAGUUUUCAAACUCACUGAUUACCAGCGGAAACCAACCCACCCACCCACAUCUCUCCUCUAUUCCCCAUUUUCUGAUCAAACUUCUUCCUCACACAGACUCUGUAACCUCCCACGAUUCCACGGACAACUCUUUUCUUUCUGUUUUCUCUCUCUGCCUUUCGCCGUUUGUGAAGCAGAAACCACAUACAAAGCUCAAAAGCAGCAAAGGGUUAAAAACUAGCGUAUUGUAUCCGACGGGAAGAUCCUUCUGAAACCAAGGCAAUCCAAUCUGGGAUCCUUAAACCAUUGCCAUCCAAGAGCAUUCCCGCGUGCAGAUGACAUGCCUGAAUGAUCAACACCAGCACCCCACCCAACACUAGCAGCCUUUGGUUCUUCCACAGAGGAGGAUUUUUCAGAGACGUUUCCCGCAUAACCCUGCCAGCAUUGUAACUCUCUUCCAAAUCCAGUUUUUUUUUUCUCUAUAGCUUUUAUCCAUCUUUCUCAUUUUUCCUGGUAAUUUUUACUUUUUAAGAUUAAUUUGGUGUCUGGAAUCUUGCAUAUUAGGUGUUUGUGAAAAUUCCCCAGAGACUAAUCGAUAGUUUGAAUGUGUAAGUCGAGUGAAUUAAGGUUGUUGUAAUCUAUUUGUGUGUUUAAUCAGUAAUCCAGUGAAUUAAGGUUGCUGUAAAGAGACCAUCCACAAAUUAGUACGAACCAGAGAGCACUACGACUGCGAGGCCGCCGCCACCGCCGGAGCGAUCACUCCAAUUACAAUACCCGAGACAUCACCUUAUCCCAGGUAGGCAUUCGGCCGGCAACCAAACGCCGUCGUUUUGCUGUGAAAUUUGUUACCUGUCUCUGUCCACCCACCAAGAUCAAUCUCCAUCUCUCUCCUUCCACUUCCUUCCCACCUCUCUCAGGAAGGAAGGAAGCGAGGAAGGAAGAGAUGAGACGCACCGCAUCGGCGGAGGAGUUAUCAGCAUCCAUUUCGGGGCAGAGCUUGGCGUAGAGUUACUAUCAACCAUUUCGGGUAUGCCUGGACUUGCUACUUUCACUCAACCAUUCGCUAAUAUGCAUAUGAAACACCUUGCCAUCCAGACUUUCAUUCUUUCUGCAAUGCAAAUAAUGUCCACUGCCCAUCUUCUGAUACUAUAGUAUAAUAUGUUCCAUAAAAUGCUAAAUGUAGCGUAAUUGCUACUGGGAAAGUAGAUAUAAUCCCAUUUUCCUGUGUCAAUUUGGUGACUUUAGUCUCUUCAUAUCUGUGUUUCUGUCAUGACUCGAUCAUCUUGAUAACAAUUCAUCUAUUGAUUUUUUGAAACUGCUAUGAGCAGUUACGUUUGGGUUAUAUCUUUCGCCAUGACACAAAAAUUGACUCAUCUCAGUCUAUCGGAUAUUCAGUUUUUUUUCUUUCUUUCUUAUUUUUACCCCUUCUCUUUUGUGUUCUUGGCGUUUGAUUUCAUAUUAUUGGGAAUUAAUUGUCUUUUGUGGUAAAGUCAAGGUUUCUCAACUGGAAUUCGACAAAAGCUUUGCCGUGGAGAAGUAAUAUAGACUUUUAUGGUUUAAUAUAGACUUUUAUUGUAUUGCAUAAUUUCAGUUUACUAUCUACAAUUAGAUUUAUUGA